GAGGUGCGUCUCUCUGGGUCUGGCCCUGGCCCUGAGCCAGGCCUGAGUCACGCUGCUAGCUCCCCCCUCCUGCUGCCUCCUCCUCCCAGCUCUUCCCUCACCUCCGCACUGCGGCCAGCCAGCCAUCCAGCCGUGGGAGGCCCGCCCUGGUGCUGACUGCUGCUUGUGGCCUUGGGCAGGCCGGAGCAGAGGGGCCAGGAGCCGCCUGUCCUGCCCACACCCUGCCGGGGCCUCCCUCUCCCUCCCUCCACUGAAUCUGGCCUAGGUUAAUUAUAACUCUGACCUAAGUGCCCUGUGACACCCUGCUCCCCACCCCCACCCCCCCCCCCGGCCCUGCCUGGAGAACCCAGCAACCAGGUAGGGGAGAGGCCUAGAGAGGAGACUUCCUCUGCAUGGGGGCGUUAGCCGAGGGGUGGGGUGGGGGGCGGUGCGGUGGUGGGGGAGGAGCCUCAGACCCUUCCCCUGCAGGUGUAAGUCCCUAUUGGUCUGAGAGGCCCUCAGGUUGUCCGGAUGAUUGAAGGGAGAGGGCGGGGAAGCCAGUUAAGGGGCCAAAGCAGGUGCCCAUGGAGACAGAGCCGGGCCUGCCCUGAAAUCUCUGCUGCUUCCUGCUCUCUGGAGAGCCUUCUGUUCCCCAGGUCCAUGUCUCAGCUAUGCUCCCCACGGACGAGCCCCUGUCCCACCUGGGCCCCUCACUGCUGCUGUUGCUGCAGCUGCAGCUACUGCUGGCCCCCGCAUCUGCCUUCUUCCCCAAUAUCUGGAGCCUCCUGGCUGCCCCCGGCUCCAUCACCCACCAGGACCUGACCGAGGAGGCGGCACUCAACGUCACCCUGCAGCUCUUCCUGGAGCAGCCGCCCCCAGGUCGGCCCCCGCUUCGCCUUGAGGACUUCCUGGGCCGCACUCUCCUUGCCGACAACCUCUUUGCCGCCUACUUCGGACCUGGGUCUCCUUCCCGGCGGUUCCGAGCAGCCUUAGGAGAGGUGUCUCGUGCCAAUGCCGCCCAGGACUUCCUGCCGACUUCCAGGAAUGACCCUGACUUGCACUUUGAUGCUGAGCGGCUGGGCCAGGGGCGCGCGCGCCUGGUGGGAGCUCUAGGGGAGACUGUGGUGGCGGCCAGAGCCCUUGACCACAGCCUGGCCCGCCAGCGCCUCGGGGCUGCACUUCAUGCCUUGCAGGAUUUCUACAGUCACAGCAACUGGGUGGAACUGGGGAAGCAGCAGCCACACCCUCACCUCCUCUGGCCAAGGCAGGGGCUGCGGAACCUGGCGCAAGUGGGCGAUCCUACCUGCUCCGACUGUGACGAGUGGAGCUGCCCUGGGAAUUUGCUGGGCUUCACACUCCUCACCUCUGGCUACUUUGGAACUCAUCCCUCCAAACCUCCAGGGAAAUGUAGCCAUGGGGGCCAUUUUGACCAGAGCAGCUCCCAGCCACCACGGGGAGGCAUCAACAAGGAUAGCACAUCCCCAGGCUUCUCCCCACACCACAUGCUGCACCUCCAGGCUGCAAACCUGGCCCUUCUGGCCUCCAUCCAGGCCUUCAGCCUCCUGCGAAGCCGCCUGGGAGACAGGGGUUUCUCCAGGCUGCUGGACAUCACCCCAGCCUCCAGCCUGAGCUUCGUCCUGGAUACCACAGGAAGUAUGGGCGAGGAGAUCAAUGCUGCCAAAAUCCAGGCUCGCCACAUUGUGGAGCAGCGACGGGGCGGCCCCAUGGAGCCCACCCACUAUGUCCUGGUGCCUUUCCAUGACCCAGGGUUUGGCCCCGUCUUUACAACCAGUGACCCUGACAGCUUCUGGCAACAACUCAAUGAGAUACAUGCCUUGGGAGGUGGAGAUGAGCCCGAGAUGUGCCUGUCAGCCCUGGAGCUGGCCCUGCUACACACACCUCCACUCUCAGACAUCUUCGUCUUCACUGACGCCUCCCCCAAGGAUGCCUUUCUCACCAACCGGGUGGAAUCUCUGACUCAGGAGCGGCGUUGCAGAGUCACAUUCCUGUUGACUGAAGACCCAUCUAGGGUUCAGGGCCGACCUCGGCGUGAGGUCUUGUCCCCUCUGCGUUUUGAGCCAUAUGAAGCGGUGGCGCUGGCCUCAGGAGGAGAGGUGAUCUUCACCAAAGACCAGUACAUUCAGGAUGUGGCAGCCAUUGUUGGGGACAGCGUAGCUGACCUGGUGACCCUUCCCCUGGAGCCUCCUGUUGUGGUGCCUGAGAGGCCACUUGUGUUCAGUGUGGAUGGGCUGCUCCAGAGGGUCACAGUCCGGAUCCAUGGGGAGGUCAGCAGCUUCUGGAUCAGAAACCCUGCAGGGGUCUCCCAGGGCCAGGAGGAAGGUGAGGGGCCUCUAGGUCAUACUCGCCGCUUCGGGCAGUUCUGGAUGGUACGCAUGAAUGACCCCCUGCAGACAGGAACCUGGGAGAUCCAGGUCACAGCCAAGGGUACCCCCCGGGUGAGAGUGCAAGCCCAGACCUCCCUGGAUUUCCUCUUCCACUUUGGGAUCCCCAUGGAGGAUGGACCCCACCCUGGCGUCUACCCCCUGACUCAACCAGUUGCAGGUCUCCAGACCCAGCUGCUGGUAGAAGUGACAGGGCUGGGCUCCAGAGGAAACCCUGGAGAUCCUCUGCCGCAUUUCUCCCACGUCGUCCUUCGAGGGGUCCCGCACGGUGCCGAGCUGGGCCGGGUGCCUUUGGAGCCCAUGGGACCCCGGGAGCGAGGUCUCCUCGCUGCCUCGCUACGACCCACGCUUCUGUCCACCGCGGGACCCUUCUCUCUGGAGCUGAUUGGCCAGGACGGAGUGGGGCAGGGCCUGCACCGGGUGGCCCCCCAGCCCUGUGCUGUAGUUCCUGUCCUUCUGGAGGUGAGAUGCCAGUGGAAGGUGCGGCUGCGGCUGGAGAGAACAGGGCCUGCUGCUCCUCCCCUGACCGGCCCUCCUCCGCAGCUCAGUGGUCCCCCGGGUUUCCUGGCGCCGGGCACCGAGGCCCCGCUCAGCCUCCGCAUUGCCAGCUUCUCGGGCCCUCAGGAUCUCGAUCUUAGGACAUCCGUCAACCCCAGCUUCGCUCUCACCUCCAACCUCUCCAGGGUUCGCCUGGAACAGAACGAGUCCGCCUGGGGGUGCCUGUGGCUGAAGGUACCAGACACAGCCGCCUCAGACUCCGUGGUGAUGGUGACUGUGACCGCGAUGGAUCGAGAAGCCAGCACAGUACCCCCCACCCAUGCCUUCCUCCGGCUCCUGGUGCGGGGCCCCACCCCGCAGGAUCUAUGUUGGGGAGGACUGUGAAGCGAUUUUCAGCAAGACUGCCCUCAAAGUCCACCUGAGGAGACAAGAAGUCCAGUGUUAUUGAGACACAGAAUCUCCAGUAUGGAAGAAGGAAAUAUUGAAGAGGAUAAAAAUGGAAUAUACAAGUUUCUAGAUCUGUCCACAGAAAAGGCCUACAAGCAAUAAUCCAAACAUGCCGAGUACCCUCUAGCACUCACCGUGGUAUACAGAAAUACCAUUUCUCACUAAAAGGAACCAGGGCUCCUCAGAGAAAUGUCUGGUUCCAGGUCAGAACCGGUACGUGUAAGUGGUAUAUCUGGUACAUCUUGUCAAACCAGAGAGUGGGGAAGUUAUCCAAGUCUACUAGUGUCAUGUUAAAGGACUCAGAAGCCAACAUGAAGAGGCUCCCAUUGGCCAAAGAUGGAAUAUCUCGAACAUGUGUAAAGAUUAAAAAUGCAGUGGCCUGAAGCACGAAGAAAUCUGUAAGUUUGUAAUGAUACUAAAACAACAACAGCAACCAAAAAAACUCAUUGGUUGCCUUGGAGGAUUAUGGAACUCAUUUCGUAUUUGCUGACAGCUGGACAGAUAAAAUCGGGGGAAAAAGUCAAGCAAUGUUCUGUGAUAUCACUAGGUAGCCGAAGAGUAGAUGAGAGGAAGUCUUCCUUCCAGAAACAUUCUAAUCAAUGAAGAAAGAAUGACAGAAUUAGAAUAACACUACUUUGCAAUCUCUAAAGAACUAAUGGACUUAAUUAUUAAACAUCAAAGACUGCUAUCAUCACAAAAUGAGAGUCAGACAUACUGACAUUAUGUUCCUCCAUUUAUGAAACACUAUUGAAAAAAAUUGAACCUGAGCAAGCUUCUAGAUUCAACUAUUAAUUUACAGAAAUUCUAGAAGAGAGAGAAACAUGUCAAAAACAGGGACUGUGGGCUUCCCUGGUGGCGCAGUGGUUGAGAGUCCGCCUGCCAAUGCAGGGGACACGGGUUCGUGCCCCGGUCCGGGAAGAUCCCACAUGCCACGGAGCGGCUGGGCCCGUGAGCCAUGGCCGCUGAGCCUGCGCUCUGCAAUGGGAGAGGCCACAACAGCAAGGGGCCCGCGUACUGCAAAAAAACAACAACAAAACAAAA